UUCUUCAGGGCGAGGUGCGAUUCCUCACUGGCGGUAAAGUCCGCGACCCUGCUCACCCGGGCAGGCUGAAUCGGUGAAACUCCGGUACCAACAGUAUAGUCUGGAUGGAAGAAGAG
rnacentral:ncRNA from 1 species